UCCGUCCUUUAUACGAAUCCUGAUUCUCUGUAGUCAUUUUUGAUCAAGUUUCGCAAAAUGAUCAAUUCUUUAUUGAAACUUUUAUAUUUACGUAGCAGUAAGUGAUUCGUUGCAUAGAAGAGAAUAUCACUUCAAUCGCGAAGCGAAAUUUAAAGAAAAAAAAGUGCUUAAUGCAUUUUUUAUCUCUGUGGAUUCCUCUGUAAAAAGGAUAAUUUUGAAUGAAAGAAAAUACAUCUCUCUGCUUAAUCAUUGCCAUAUUCUAUUAAUAUUAACUUACAAUAUUAAUGUCGAUAAACCUGAUACAAAUAUAGUCUGUGCCACAUUUUGUACUCGUAAACAUUUGUUUUGAAUCUUUCUUUUUGUCAUGUACACGCAAAUAUAUAUAUAUAUAUAUAUAAUUUAUAUCUUAAUACAGAUGUAUCUCGUUUGCUGUCCUUACAUUAUGCACAAUGUACGUACAAAUUAUGAUAUAGGAGCCUAUUUUGUAACUCUUAACGCGAUUGUAACGCUACAGUUGCAGUCGUUAAGAAUUAUAGAAUAGGCCACUAA